GAAGUUGGAUGAACAGACACAUGACACUGCAAGUAAAGAAAAGAAACUUACAUACAAUCUUACAUAAUAUGCAUCUCGUUUCCAGUGAAUUCAAGAGCAUAUGAAGGGGGAUUACUUUGCUGAAAGAGUAGUCCUGUUUAAAGGAAUUGGAACCACAUCAUCUCCUUGAUGAAGAACCCAAGCGAGAGCUAAUUGAGCAGGUGUGCAAUGAUGCUUGGAAGACAACAUCUUCAACCUUGAAUAAAGAGUCUUGUUCUUCUCCAGAUUUUCUCCAGUAAACCUUGGAUGUGCAUGCUGAAAAGAAAACAUCUUUUAGAUAUGUGCAGUGCAAAUACAUAGUUGUGAAAAGCUAAAGUUCUGUCAAUUCUUUCACCAGGAAAGAACUCUCAGGCAAGAUUUCUGUGACUC